UAAAUGGCGAAGAAGGAAAAAGUAUUUUUGACGCGAUUUUCUCAGAGAGCCUGUCUAUGGUGGAAGCAGGCAAAAUCGUACAAAAAGAAUGGGCUCCCGAGCUUGACGGACGAACAACAGUAGUCCGACACGUAUCCCGCGUUAAGGGAAUAGAGCGGCUUUUAACGAAGCAAUUCGGGUGGUACCACGGUUACUUUUCAUCAAUCGUCCCUUUU
rnacentral:ncRNA from 1 species